rnacentral:tRNA from 1 species
GCGGAAGUGGCGGAACUGGCAGACGCGCUAGAUUCAGGGUCUAGUCCCGGCAACGGGGUGGGGGUUCAACUCCCCCCUUCCGCACCA